UGCCACCCGUGGGGCUGUUCCCCUCCUCAGAGAGGGGAAUGGGGCUGGUCAAAGGACCCAGGGAUCACCCUUUCACUUUUUUCCCCCACCCCCAUGUCAGGCUCAGGUGAGAAGCCGAGGCCAGGCUGUCCAAAGCUCUUUUCAUGUGUAACAGUCCUGAGUCCCUUGAUCUCCCCUUGGCCCAACUCUGGCCUUGGUUCCACUAAGGCAGAGUCCUCUUGUCUCUUCCUACCAUCCCCCACUGGACUGUCUCUCUCAGAAACCCCAGGCAGCCUUGCCUCCUGACCUAAUUCCUGGAGAUGCUGGUGUUCCUGGGAGGAAUUUCCCCUGCAUCUUACGUGCUAGAAGCCCCUGGGGCAAGAGGUAGGGGGAGGAAUUGAGAGGAGGAAAAACGUGAACUGGAUACCUAGAGAAGAAGGAUGUGACUUGUAGUCUCCUAUGUCUAAAUUAGGAAUAUGAAUCUGGUUUUUCUACAAGAAACUUGAGAUCACAGCUGACUGUGUUCCUGAUGCAUCCACCAAACCCAGUUCCAUCUGUGGGCCUCCCUGGCUCUGUCACCAGCCCUUGCACCCUCCUGAUCACAGGAGUCACAAACCUCAGACGUGCAGCUCCUGUCCACACUUAAUGUAUGCAUGCACAUUGGAUCACCCAGCCCUGGUCUUUCUGCUUCCAUGGAUAACUGCAUGACCCCGAGAGGGAACCUCCUUAGAUUUAGCAUCCUAGGUUCCUCACACGCCUCACCCUGAAACCUGGCCCUCCCGCAGCCCCAGCACCAGCACCAUUUGUCCCAUCAGUGACCAGAUUCAUAUUCUGGUGUAGCCUCUGUUGCCGGAGCCAGUGCUGAACCAGUCCGCCUCUUCCCCGGGAAGUGCCCUCCCUUCCCUCCUGUUAGGGUUGGCUCUUGAGCUUGUGUGCCAGUUCCUGGGUUGGCCGUGAGAGUUCUACAGACAAGGGGGAAGUGCUCUCGGUGUAUUUCCUGUGGUGGGUGUACAUGCAGCUAGACACAGCUAACUUGAGUCUUGGAGCUCCUAGAGGGGAGCUUCUGGAAAGGAAGCUUCUUCAGGACCUCUCGGAAGCCAGGUAGGAGUCUGGAACUACUAGUGAACCUAGACCUGUAGCUCUGGCCAGAGGGGCUAGGACGAGAGACGGAGGGUGUGAUGGUGAGUGCUGGGAGUUGCAGCCGACCUUGGGGCUGGUGGCUGGGGGAGUGGGGAGCCUGGGAAAGGCCAGGAUGUGGAUGGGCUGGUAUGGCAUUGAGCCUGAAAUGGUCCAACUUGGGGUCCCCAGUGCCUAGGAAAGUUGUCCCCUUGAAUAUUAGUGUGAAGGUGAAGGAGGAAGCAGAUGCCUGUUCAUAUGGAAACAAAGACCUGGCUGUGAAGAGGGGAGGUGAACACCAAAGUCCUGACACUUGGAUGGGACAGAAUUGAUCUGUGAGAGACUCUUACCUAGUUCACACCUAGGUGACCCUGGGGGUGGCGUGGGGGUAGGUUAGAGAUCCCAGUCUGGUAUCUGGAGAGUAGGGGUCCCAAGAACUGAAGGUUUUUGGCCACUGAACUUUGGCUAAAGCAGAGGUGUAACAGCUGCUCAGGAUUCCCUGGUUAAAAAGUGAAAGUGAAAUAGAGGAUGGGGGCAGUGCUUUCCCAGAAGGAUUGCUCGGCAUCCUGCCCUUCCCAGAAGCAGCUCUGGUGCUGGAGAGAGCACUGCCUCCCUGUGUGACUGGGUGAGUCCAUAUUCUCUCUUUGGGUCUCAAUUUUGCUUUCCCUAAUGAAGGGGUAAGAUUGGACUAGGUAAGCAUCUUAUAACCAUUUGUGGUCCUGAGAGCUGGCGUGGGGAAAGAUUGUCACUUGAUGACCCCCCCAGCUCUGUUUCUGAGUGCUGAAGGAGCUCCAGGCUAUGCUAUGGGAGGAAAAGCCAGCUACUGAGAAAAAGCGGGAGUGGUUUACCAUUCUCCUCCCCCACCUUUCACCAGAGAAGAGGACAUUGUCACAGAUAAAGAGCCAGCUCACCAGCUCCUGACACAUGCAUCAUGACCAUGAGACACAACUGGACACCAGACCUCAGCUUCUUGUGGGUCCUGCUGUGUGCCCACAUCAUCACUCUUCUGGUCAGAGCCACACCUGUCUCGCAGACCACCACAGCUGCCACUGCCUCAUCUAGAAGCACAAAGGACCCCUGCCCCUCCCAGCCCCCAGUGUUCCCAGCAGCUAAGCAGUGUCCAGCAUUGGAAGUGACCUGGCCAGAGGUGGAAGUGCCACUGAAUGGAACGCUGACCUUAUCCUGUACGGCCUGCAGCCGCUUCCCCAACUUCAGCGUGCUCUACUGGCUGGGCAAUGGUUCCUUCAUUGAGCACCUCCCAGGCCAGCUGUGGGAGGGGAGCACCAGCCGGGAACAUGGGAGCACAGGUACGCAACUGUACAAGGCCUUGGUGCUGGAGCAGCUGACCCCUGCGCUGCACAGCACCAACUUCUCCUGUGUGCUCAUGGACCCCGAACAGGUUGUCCAGCGUCACGUCAUCCUGGCCCAGCUCUGGGCUGGGCUGAGGACAACCUUGCCCCCCACCCAAGAAGCCCUGCCCUCCAGCCACAGCACAGGGCCACAGCAGCAGGGUUAAGACUCAGCACAGGGCCAGCAGCAGCACGACCUUGACCAGAGCCUGGGUCCUACCCGUCUACCUGAAGUGAACAGUCCCUGACUGCCUGCAGGCUGUGUGGGCGAGCAACGCACCCCCUCCUCCUCUGCUUUGGGUCCCUUCUCUCACCAAAUUCCAACUCCAUUCCCACCUACCUGGAAAAUCGCAGCCUCCUUAUAAUAAUGCCUCCUCCUCCUCCUGCCAUUUUCUCUCUACCUACCCCAUUAGCUUUCCUAACAUCCUACUCCUCACACUGCUCUACUGCUCAGAAACCACCAAGACUGUUGAUGCCUUAGCCUUGCACUCCAGGGCCCUACCUACAUUUCCCACAUGACUUUCUGGAUGCCUCCAGCUAUUCCUGCUUUCCCCAGACAGCUCCCACUCCCAUGUCUCUGCUCGUUUAGUCCCGUCGUCCUCACCAUCCCAGCAGGGGAACUCUGAAGCCUGGUUGAAACGCCACGUCUUCAAUGAAGUUACCCUUGUUCAGCUCUGGCCACAUUCUGCAGACUUCAUGUCUUCUUUCUGAGCAGAGGCCAGUAAUGGAGACUGGGAAGAGCCUGGAAAGAUGCGCCUCCAGGAAAAGGGAUGACAGAAAGGAGGUGGUCUGAAAGACUCAGUGGGGACAAGGUAGGCUCCAAAGAGCCUAGAUUUCCCCUCCUUUUCCCACAUAGAUCAAGGCAAUUCAGUACUCACGGGAGAAAAAUAGACUUUAUUUACAAGUAAUAACAUUUAGAAAAGAUCCAUCCCCGGCCCUUAAAAACCUUCCCAUCACUCCAAAUCCCACCCCAGUGCAAGUCUGGGGAAGGUAGGGUGUGAGCUGCCGCUGAAGGCUGUCCCCUAACCCCACUCCUGAGACACAGGCCCAUCAUCCUGGGAAAGAGCAUCCUCUGGCAGGUGCUCCCACCAGGUCAGACCCAGUCCUGGACUUCAAGAGUGAGGGCCCCUGCUAGGCCCAGCCUCCAGGAGAGCAGGAACCAGGGCCUACUCCUCUUAUGGUCCCUUCUAGAUCCAGAGGCUAAGAGGAAGACUGGCCAGGCCCAAGGACCCAGCCAUCAAAACCAGCCUCAAAUCUGGUUGUGAUGGAGAAGUGACUUUGCUUUAA